CAGGUGGUCAGGUAGAGAAUACCAAGGCGCUUGAGAGAACUCGGGUGAAGGAACUAGGCAAAAUGGUGCCGUAACUUCGGGAGAAGGCACGCUGACACGUAGGUGAAGUGAUUUACUCAUGGAGCUGAAGUCAGUCGAAGAUACCAGCUGGCUGCAACUGUUUAUUAAAAACACAGCACUGUGCAAACACGAAAGUGGACGUAUACGGUGUGACGCCUGCCCGGUGCCGGAAGGUUAAUUGAUGGGGUCAGCGCAAGCGAAGCUCCUGAUCGAAGCCCCGGUAAACGGCGGCCGUAACUAUAACGGUCCUAAGGUAGCGAAAUUCCUUGUCGGGUAAGUUCCGACCUGCACGAAUGGCGUAAUGAUGGCCAGGCUGUCUCCACCCGAGACUCAGUGAAAUUGAACUCGCUGUGAAGAUGCAGUGUACCCGCGGCAAGACGGAAAGACCCCGUGAACCUUUACUAUAGCUUGACACUGAACAUUGAGCCUUGAUGUGUAGGAUAGGUGGGAGGCUUUGAAGUGUGGACGCCAGUCUGCAUGGAGCCGACCUUGAAAUACCACCCUUUAAUGUUUGAUGUUCUAACGUGGACCCGUAAUCCGGGUUGCGGACAGUGUCUGGUGGGUAGUUUGACUGGGGCGGUCUCCUCCUAAAGAGUAACGGAGGAGCACGAAGGUUGGCUAAUCCUGGUCGGACAUCAGGAGGUUAGUGCAAUGGCAUAAGCCAGCUUGACUGCGAGCGUGACGGCGCGAGCAGGUGCGAAAGCAGGUCAUAGUGAUCCGGUGGUUCUGAAUGGAAGGGCCAUCGCUCAACGGAUAAAAGGUACUCCGGGGAUAACAGGCUGAUACCGCCCAAGAGUUCAUAUCGACGGCGGUGUUUGGCACCUCGAUGUCGGCUCAUCACAUCCUGGGGCUGAAGUAGGUCCCAAGGGUAUGGCUGUUCGCCAUUUAAAGUGGUACGCGAGCUGGGUUUAGAACGUCGUGAGACAGUUCGGUCCCUAUCUGCCGUGGGCGCUGGAGAACUGAGGGGGGCUGCUCCUAGUACGAGAGGACCGGAGUGGACGCAUCACUGGUGUUCGGGUUGUCAUGCCAAUGGCACUGCCCGGUAGCUAAAUGCGGAAGAGAUAAGUGCUGAAAGCAUCUAAGCACGAAACUUGCCCCGAGAUGAGUUCUCCCUGAGACUUAGAGUCUCCUGAAGGAACGUUGAAGACGACGACGUUGAUAGGCCGGGUGUGUAAGCGCAGCGAUGCGUUGAGCUAACCGGUACUAAUGAACCGUGAGGCUUAACCUUACAACGCCG
rnacentral:rRNA from 1 species